AUAUCAAUAAGCGGAGGAAAAGAAACUAACAAGGAUUCCCCUAGUAACGGCGAGUGAAGCGGGAAGAGCUCAAAUUUGUAAUCUGGCACCUUCGGUGUCCGAGUUGUAAUCUCGAGAAGUGUUUUCCGCGCCGGACCGCAUACAAGUCUGUUGGAAUACAGCGUCAUAGUGGUGAGAACCCCGUACCUAAUGCGGAUGCCCGGUGCUUUGUGAUACACUUUCGAAGAGUCGAGUUGUUUGGGAAUGCAGCUCAAAUUGGGUGGUAAAUUCCAUCUAAAGCUAAAUAUUGGCGAGAGACCGAUAGCGAACAAGUACCGUGAGGGAAAGAUGAAAAGCACUUUGGAAAGAGAGUUAACAGUAC
rnacentral:rRNA from 1 species